GACGAACGCUGGCGGCGUGCCUAAUACAUGCAAGUAGAACGCUGAAGAGAGGAGCUUACUCUUCUUGGAUGAGUUGCGAACGGGUGAGUAACGCGUAGGUAACCUGCCUUGUAGCGGGGGAUAACUAUUGGAAACGAUAGCUAAUACCGCAUAACAAUGGAUGACACAUGUCAUUUAUUUGAAAGGGGCAAUUGCUCCACUACAAGGUGGACCUGCGUUGUAUUAGCUAGUAGGUGAGGUAAUGGCUCACCUAGGCGACGAUACAUAGCCGACCUGAGAGGGUGAUCGGCCAAACUGGGACUGAGACACGGCCCAGACUCCUACGGGAGGCAGCAGUAGGGAAUCUUCGGCAAUGGGGGCAACCCUGACCGAGCAACGCCGCGUGAGUGAAGAAGGUUUUCGGAUCGUAAAGCUCUGUUGUAAGUCAAGAACGGGUGUGAGAGUGGAAAGUUCACACUGUGACGGUAGCUUACCAGAAAGGGACGGCUAACUACGUG
rnacentral:rRNA from 1 species